GUUCAAACCAAAAUCCUCAAAGAUUUGCCAGAUUUAAUUAGAGCUCGAACACCUACGAUUAGUCGUAGCAAAGCAUUUGCAAGUGAGGUCGCAAAGUAAUACAUAGGAAAAUAAUACGACGUAUCGCAGCAGGAAUUCGCUCGCACGCUUGCGCUAUUGCUUACACAGCAGAGUGCCCCACGCUGGUCAAACGCCUGCUAUCUUAGCUACACGCUGCUACGCAUCUCCGACAUUCAGCUCACGAGCAUGUGACCCUCAAUUCAGCUUCGUGCUCUCCUCGGCCCAAUAUAUAAUAUGUCUCUCUCUCGCGUUCGCAUCGACUCGCGUGAUACAUAUUAUGUCGCGAUAUAUAACGGGGAGGAGGAAAGGGAAAUCUCACACACCGGACUCUGCUCUGGCCGAUGUGUCGCAUAACACGUCACCGCGCUACAAAGUACGUUUGCAAGUGAAAUCGCAAAGUAAUACAUAAGAAAAUCUCGUUGUCUGCAAGAAGUGAUUUUCGUGAACGAAGUGCAUUUACAAGUGAAAUCGCAAAGUGAUACAAAUUUUAAUAUCAACUGUGUGUGUUGUGUGUGAGUGUGCAAAAAUUGCUAGAAACUUGGGAAAAUUACAGCUCUUGCGAGACAAGGUCAAUUGGAAGACCAAUAAACAGCGGAUAAAUAAGAAAUAAAUUUCUUCGCAAAUUUGACUCUUUGUUUUGCGAUUGGGAGGACCAAUUCCUUGCGAAACAAUAUCAAUUGGGAGACCAAUAAAAAGCGAAUAAAAAGGAAAUAAAUUUCUUUGUAAAUUUGACUUUUUGUUCUGCGAUUGGGAGGACCAUUUCCCAAUCUCUGAAAAAUUAGGCAAACCCCAGAGCGCCAGUUUCAAGUUGAACUCGAACACGAGUAGUCGUAGCAAAGCAGCAGCAAGUGAAGUGCAUUUUUUGAAAAAUUUUUAUAUCAACUGUGUGUGCUGUGUGUGAGUAUUUAAAUAUGAAUAGCAGCUUGAAAAAAUUAUGGUUCUUGUGGGACAACGUCAACGGGGAGAACAAAAGAAAGCGAAAUCUAUUUCUUCGCAAAAUUGAUGUAUUAUUCACCAAAUAGAAGCACCAACUUUCCAAUCUCCGAAAAAUUUUUCGGCCGAACGAAAUAGAUAAACUUCUCUUGGAGGCUACAAAAGUAGGCAACAGUCGAGGACUAAGGAUUAUUCAAUUUGUGGUUGGCACCGGCUAUAAAGAUAAGCCCGAGGUAGAUAAGAACGGCAAGCCGAUAUUUCGUCGGAAGACACUACUGCAUUGUGCAGAUGAAAGCUAUUCCCCUUUCAAAAGCAACGUGAUCGAUCUUCUGUUUAAAAUGAACAGAAGAUUCAAUUUGAAUUACGCAGAUAAGUUCGGAAUGGCUCAUUUUCAUUUGGCUUGCAAGCACGGCUGCUACUUUGAAGCCAAAAUGUUCAUAAGAUUCGGACAUGAUCCCAAUCUUCGCGUGCAAAAAACCGGCUUCAUUUGGCAGAACGCUACGACUUCUACGAGUUGAUUAAAUUGUUGUUGAGAGAUUGUCAUCGCUGCACGAUAUUUUUAAGAAACACUGCGUCGUUGAUUGUCAUCAUAAAUCGUGGAAUAUAUUUUUUGAAACAAUCGACAAAAGAAAGAAACUGAUCCAGAUUAAUGCUCGUGAAAACUGCGGUAACACACCCUUGCUUUUGACAUUGAAAUUAGUGUCAUUGAGAUCGUCAAUAAAGUGUGUAGCAUUUCUGAUGAUAAGAAGGAUGAUCCGAAAUCAGCCAUAGUAGGAUUGACAGCACUGCACAUUACUUGCCAGAAAUCAUGUCACUGAGCUGUCCACUUCGUUUUCCCUCCGGCAAAUGAAGAAAUCAGCGAAAAUAGUGAAGUUCUACACCGAAAAAAAUUUUAUAAAUGCUGACGACGGUGACGGGAAUCAAAAGGAAAGAACGACUUUGUUCCAGACUGCAUCGUCGGUGACGGGAGUCAUGAGAAAGCAGCAAUAUUUUUGAAAACUGCAUUGACGGCGAUGAUCAGCAAAAGAGAAAAGCAACGUCGUUGAGGACUGCAUUGCCGAUACCCUUGACGCAGAUCUCCAAAAUCCUGCAAUCGGUGUCGGCAGGAGGAAGGCAGACAGUAAAUCAUCGGUCAGACGAAUGAAGAGAACUUAC